rnacentral:rRNA from 1 species
AUUGAACGCUGGCGGCAGGCUUAACACAUGCAAGUCGAGCGGGGUGAUGGUGCUUGCACUAUCACUUAGCGGCGGACGGGUGAGUAAUGCUUAGGAAUCUGCCUAUUAGUGGGGGACAACAUCUCGAAAGGGAUGCUAAUACCGCAUACGUCCUACGGGAGAAAGCAGGGGAUCACUUGUGACCUUGCGCUAAUAGAUGAGCCUAAGUCGGAUUAGCUAGUUGGGGGGGUAAAGGCCUACCAAGGCGACGAUCUGUAGCGGGUCUGAGAGGAUGGUCCGCGACACUGGGACUGAGAAACGGCCCCGACUCCUAAGGGAGGCAGCAGUGGGGAAUAUUGGACAAUGGGGGGAACCCUGAUCCAGCCAUGCCGCGUGUGUGAAGAAGGCCUUAUGGUUGUAAAGCACUUUAAGCGAGGAGGAGGCUCUUUUGGUUAAUACCCAAGAUGAGUGGACGUUACUCGCAGAAUAAGCACCGGCUAACCCUGUGCCAGCCGCCGCGGUAA